AUAGACUAAGCUGUGUAUUGCACAUAAUUAUUGCUCAAUGGGGCAGUUUUAAAUGUUCAUGAGAUGGAUAGCCUGAGGGCAAAAACUGUUCUUGUGCCUGAUGGUUCUGGUGCUCAGUGCUCUAUGGCACCUUUCAAAAGCGACAGUUAAAAAAGUAAGUGGGCUGGGUGUGUGGGGUCCAGGGUGAUUUUUCUAGCCCUUUUCCUCACAUUGGAAGUGUACAGUUCUUGAAGUGAGGGCAGGGGGCAACCAAUAAUCCUCUCAGCAGCUGACUCAAACCAGACAGUUAUUGAAGAGCAGAGGACAGACUCGGUGAAUGUGAGUAGAACUGUAUCAGCAGCGCCUGUGGCAGGUUGAACUUUCUCAACUGGCGAAGAAAGGACAAUCUCUGCUGGGCCUUUUUCACAGUGGAGGCAAUGUGGGUCUCCCACUACAGGUCCUGUGAGAUGGUAGUGCCCAGGAACCUGAAUGACACCACUGCUGCCACAGUGAAUAGGUCUCCAAAACUGACACCUCUCCCAAAAGAGAGCUGCCCACCAUGAUCCUGUUUAGUGUUGUUUUUGCAUUAAGGGUAAGAGGAAAAUACUUCAAUAAAACAUGCACUUAAGCUGGCAUGGACAAGUUUGAGCAAAAAAUGUUAUACUUAAUAUUGUCCCAGUGUUCACAAAAAAAACAAAACAUGAUUUAAUUGAGCUGUAUUUAACAAAAGUAAAUAAAAACAACUUAAUAUUGAAGUUUUAUUUAAUUUGAUAUUGAUAUGAUGGAGAUUUGUUCUGAAAUUAAAAAAUCUUAAAAAUAGGCUAAAAUAUUUUUGGUGUUUUUUGAGAAUGUUCCAAUCUUGUGUGUGUUUUAAUGUUAUCAAGAAAAUCUGACCUUAGAGGAGUUAACAUGGCAAGUGUAAUAAUUUUUCUUUUUUGAGUAGUGACCCAGAAAAAGUGAACAACCUUAAAUAUUUUAUUUAAUGAUUACAGCUAAUGUGUUUUACAGUUUACUUAAUGACUUUCAACGUUUUGCUCACCAGUGUUUGAGCCCCAAAAUGUAUUUGGACACUUAUGCCACACUUAAAAAUGUAUGAACGUCAGUGCAUUAGAAAAGAAAAUAUCAAACCUAGUGUCAAUUGUAAUAGAAAGAUAAGUGUAACGGGAGCCAGCUGGUAGAUAGCUGUGCAGUGUGUAAACCUCACUCUCCUGACCUCAAAGAGGUGCACUAGCGACUGAUGCUAGAGGCUUUAGCCUUUAGCAUCCUUGUUAGAGCACCUGCCUCCCACGCCAGACACGUUGGUUCGAGUCUCUUACAGAGCGGGUAGAACAAUAGCACAAAAAACUUUUAAGCAAAACAUUAAAAAAAAAAAAAUAAUCAUUUUAGGUACGAAGUUAACACUUUAUAAGUGAACGACAUCUGAGAUUAGGACACCUGAACUUGAGGGCAACUGAAUACCAAAACGGAUUAACUCUCUAGACACCGCUUGGUCAUUCCCUAUCCCAGUGGCCAUAUAAGAACUGCUUUGACUUCGCUCUCAUAUGGGUCUCCUGCUGCCUCAUCUUCACUCUGGUCUUCUGGACCGUCUUGGUCUUCUGAAACAUUUUUCAUCACAGUUAUGUAGGAUACUACAAAUAGAUUUUUUGUUCUUUCUGUAGAAUGCUUGUUGUCUACCCUCAGACCAAAACAUAUUUUUUUUUUAUUGACCCGAUCUCUCUCGGCUCUGCCCCAGUGAAGAAGCAUGGUAAUGUAAGUGCAGCAUAGUUCUAGUGGGAAGACUAGCAGCUGUACAUCAUCAUACCAUUAGCUAGGUAACUCCUAGCCAAUCACAUGUAAGCCAUUGCUUUAUAAGUCUGCUCACAAUCUAUCACAUUGCAGUUUCAGUGUGCUAACACGGCAACCUCCACCACCCCACCACCACCAGUUGAGACCUGUCCUGCUGGGGUAGGCUCCUCCCCCCCUGCCUCCUAUCUCCGGCAGGAUAUGACAGUUCCGAGUACAACUUCUUCGGACCGCCAGAUGGGGCUUACGCCAAAGAUAGACAUUACUUUUCUGUUUUAUUUCACUCAAGUCUGUGAGUCUUCCUGAUAGAAAAACUGUUCUGGCAGCCAUACUGAUGCUGCGGGUAUAAUUGUUGAUGAUCUUGUUGAAGGAUGGAAUUCCCUGAGUGUACUGCAUUCUGCUAAGCUCCAAGUAGAUCCUGGAAACUUCAAGGUAAUUUCCCUGCAGAAGUGCACGUGGUCGUGGGCAAGUUCCUUGCAGCUCUCUCUGCCACUCUUGCAGCUCUGCGUGUAUCUGCAUAGUGAGCCACUUAAAAGCAUAAAGCUUUGUUGAAAUGAAGAGGCAGGCAUUUCUGUUUUCAUCUUUGCUUUAAAAAUAAUAAAAUAAAAUGUAUUUGUUUGUGACAUUAUUUCCA